AGUGAACGCUGGCGGUAGGCCUAACACAUGCAAGUCGAACGGCAGCACAGUAAGAGCUUGCUCUUACGGGUGGCGAGUGGCGGACGGGUGAGGAAUACAUCGGAAUCUACUUUUUCGUGGGGGAUAACGUAGGGAAACUUACGCUAAUACCGCAUACGACCUACGGGUGAAAGCAGGGGAUCUUCGGACCUUGCGCGAUUGAAUGAGCCGAUGUCGGAUUAGCUAGUUGGCGGGGUAAAGGCCCACCAAGGCGACGAUCCGUAGCUGGUCUGAGAGGAUGAUCAGCCACACUGGAACUGAGACACGGUCCAGACUCCUACGGGAGGCAGCAGUGGGGAAUAUUGGACAAUGGGCGCAAGCCUGAUCCAGCCAUACCGCGUGGGUGAAGAAGGCCUUCGGGUUGUAAAGCCCUUUUGUCGGGAAAGAAAGGCAGCAGGUUAAUACCCCGCUGUUCUGACGGUACCCAAAGAAUAAGCACCGGCUAACUUCGUG
rnacentral:rRNA from 1 species